CCUCACCUCUCCAGUCAGCAGGUAGAUGAUCUCCAUAAUGACAUUACCCAGAAUCCCUCACCUCUCCAGCCAGCAGGUAGAUGAUCUCCAUAAUGACAUUACCCAGAAUCCCUCACCUCUCUAGUCAGCAGGUAGAUGAUCUCCAUAAUGACAUUACCCAGAAUCCCUCACCUCUCCAAUCAGCAGGUAGAUGAUCUCCAUACUGACAUUACCCAGAAUCCCUCACCUCUCCAGUCAGCAGGUAGAUGAUCUCCAUAAUGACAUUACCCAGAAUCCCUCACCUCUCCAGCCAGCAGGUAGAUGAUCUCCAUAAUGACAUUACCCAGAAUCCCUCACCUCUUCAGCCAGCAGGUAGAUGAUCUCCAUACUGACAUUACCCAGAAUCCCUCACCUCUCCAGUCAGCAGGUAGAUGAUCUCCAUGGUGACAUUACCCAGAAUCCCUCACCUCUCCAGUCAGCAGGUAGAUG